rnacentral:lncRNA from 1 species
CUCAUGACAACAUCCAAUGAGCUUCUUGUCCGUCUUCCCUCCCAGGAAAGACUGAAAGCAUGAGCUCCAACAAAUCUUGAAGCUCCUUUAGUAGGUGCUCUGGCCCCAGACAUACCGAAAUUAUUCUAUUGAUAUGCUGAAGAAAGACAUGCAGGUGAGAUCUAAUGGGCUCAGCAGACACUAAGACUGGUUCCUCUGUUUACUCCCUGCAGCCCCUGCUGGUUUCAAGUGUUUUUCAUUUGAAGAUGCUUCGAAGGGAACAGGCUUAAGGA